rnacentral:rRNA from 1 species
UCCUACGGAGGCAAGCAGUGGGGAAUAUUGGACAAUGGGCGCAAGCCUGAUCCAACCAUGCCGCGUGGGUGAAGAAGGUUUUNGGAUUGUCAAGCCCUUUUGGCGGGGACGAUGAUGACGGUACCCGCAGAAUAAGCUCCGGCUAACUUCGUGCCAACAACCGCGGUAAUACGAAGGGGGCUAGCGUUGCUCGGAAAUCCUGGGCGUAAAGGGCGCGUAGGCGGCUUAUACAUUCAGGCGUGAAAUUCCUGGGCUCAACCCGCGGAAUGCCUCUGAUACGUGUAGGCUUGAGUUUGAAAGAGGGUCGUGGAAUUUCCAAUGUAGAGGUGAAAUUCGUAGAUAUUUGACAG